rnacentral:rRNA from 1 species
GGAUUAGAUACCCUAUUAUUUUUAAUGUAUAUUAAUUGAUUUAGGUAGUAAUAGUUAUGUUCUUUAAACUUAAAGGAUUUGGCGGUGUUUUAGUCUAUUCAGAGGAACCUGUUCUAUAAUCGAUAUUCCACGUUUUAUCUUUCUUCUUGUUGUUAUCAGUUUGUAUAUCUCCGUUAUCAGAUUAUCUUUUUAGAGUUAAAAAUUUUCUUUUUCUUUAUUAAAGGUUAUUUCAGGUCAAGGUGCAGCUUAUCAAGAAGUGUGAAAUGGGUUACAAUAAAUUUAUUUAUAGCGGAUUUUAUUUGUAAUAAAAUGUUGAAGAUGGAUUUGAGAGUAAAAUUUUUUUAUUAAAAAUAUUUGAUUUUAGCUCUAAAACAUGUACACAUCGCCCGUCGCUCUCGUUAAUAAAAUGAGAUAAGUC